GCCCGUUUAGCUCAGUGGUAGAGCGCGCCACUUGUAUUACUAAGAUUAAUGGUGAGGUCGGUUGUUCAAUCCAGCCAAUGGGCA